ACGGAGGGUGCAAGCGUUAAUCGGAAUUACUGGGCGUAAAGCGUGCGUAGGCGGUCUAUUAAGUCAGAUGUGAAAGCCCCGGGCUUAACCUGGGAACUGCAUUUGAUACUGGUAGACUAGAGUAUGGUAGAGGGGGGUAGAAUUUCUGGUGUAGCGGUGAAAUGCGUAGAUAUCAGAAGGAAUACCAGUGGCGAAGGCGGCCCCCUGGCCCAAUACUGACGCUGAGGUACGAAAGCGUGGGUAGCGAACAGG
rnacentral:rRNA from 1 species